rnacentral:rRNA from 1 species
GACGAACGCUGGCGGCGUGCUUAACACAUGCAAGUCGAACGGAUUGGCGAACGGGUGAGUAACACGUGGGUGACCUGCCCUUCACUUCGGGAUAAGCCUGGGAAACUGGGUCUAAUACCGGAUAGUGUGGGAUGGGCCCGCGGCUAAUCAGCUUGUUGGUGGGGUAAUGGCCGACCAAGGCGGCGACGGGUAGCCGGCCUGAGAGGGUGGACGGCCUCAUUGGGCCUGAGGCACGGACCAGACUGCUACGGGAGGCAGCAGGGGGGAAUAUUGCGCAAUGGGCGGAAGCCUGAUGCAGCGACGCCGCGUGGGGAAUGACGGCCUUCGGGUUGUAAACUCCUUUCACCAUCGACGCGGUAGCUGGAGAAGAAGCACCGGCUAACUACGUGCCAGCAGCCGCGGUAAUUC